UCUCUUCAGUGUGUUGAUGCUUGAUGAAGCACAUGAGAGAACCCUGUAUACUGACAUAGCCAUUGGUUUGCUUAAAAAGAUUCAGAAGAAACGGCGAAACCUGAGGCUGAUUGUGGCCUCGGCCACUCUGGAUGCCAA